rnacentral:rRNA from 1 species
GAUGAACGCUAGCGGCAGGCUUAAUACAUGCAAGUCGAGGGGUAGCAAGAUUGUAGCAAUACAAUUGUUGACGACCGGCAAACGGGUGCGGAACACGUACACAACCUUCCUACAAGUGGGGAAUAGCCCAGAGAAAUUUGGAUUAAUACCCCGUAACAUAGCGAUGUGGCAUCACAUUGCUAUUAUAGCUUCGGCGCUUGUUGAUGGGUGUGCGGCUGAUUAGAUAGUUGGCGGGGUAACGGCCCACCAAGCCUACGAUCAGUAGCUGAUGUGAUAGCAUGAUCAGCCGCACGGGCACUGAGACACGGGCCCGACUCCUACGGGAGGCAGCAGUACGGAAUAUUGGACAAUGGGCGCAAGUCUGAUCCAGCCAUGCCGCGUGAAGGAUUAAGGUCCUCUGGAUUGUAAACUUCUUUUAUAAGGGACGAAAAAAGGUCUUUCUAGAUCGUCUGACGGUACCUUAUGAAUAAGCACCGGCUAACUCCGUGCCAGCCGCCGCAGUAAAAC